UACGUAGGGUGCAAGCGUUAAUCGGAAUUACUGGGCGUAAAGCGUGCGCAGGCGGUUUUGUAAGUCUGUCGUGAAAUCCCCGGGCUCAACCUGGGAAUUGCGAUGGAGACUGCAAGGCUAGAAUCUGGCAGAGGGGGGUAGAAUUCCACGUGUAGCAGUGAAAUGCGUAGAGAUGUGGAGGAACACCGAUGGCGAAGGCAGCCCCCUGGGUCAAGAUUGACGCUCAUGCACGGAAAGCGUGGGGAGCAAACAGG
rnacentral:rRNA from 1 species